rnacentral:rRNA from 1 species
GACGAACGCUGGCGGCGUGCUUAACACAUGCAAGUCGAACGCUGAAGACCUGGCUUUUGUUGGGUUGGAUGAGUGGCGAACGGGUGAGUAACACGUGAGUAACCUGCCCUCUUCUUUGGGAUAACGCCCGGAAACGGGUGCUAAUACUGGAUAUUCACUGAUCUUCGCAUGGGGGUUGGUGGAAAGGUUUGUUCUGGUGGGGGAUGGGCUCGCGGCCUAUCAGCUUGUUGGUGGGGUGAUGGCCUACCAAGGCUUUGACGGGUAGCCGGCCUGAGAGGGUGACCGGUCACAUUGGGACUGAGAUACGGCCCAGACUCCUACGGGAGGCAGCAGUGGGGAAUAUUGCACAAUGGGCGAAAGCCUGAUGCAGCGACGCCGCGUGAGGGAUGGAGGCCUGCGGGUUGUAAACCUCUUUCGCUCAUGGUCAAGCCGCAACUGUGGGUUGUGGUGAGGGUAGUGGGUAAAGAAGCGCCGGCUAACUACGUG